GAUGAACGCUGGCGGCGUGCCUAAUACAUGCAAGUCGAGCGAAUGGAUUAGGAGCUUGCUCUUAUGAAGUUAGCGGCGGACGGGUGAGUAACACGUGGGCAACCUGCCCAUAAGACUGGGAUAACUCCGGGAAACCGGGGCUAAUACCGGAUAACAUUUUGAACCGCAUGGUUCGAAAUUGAAAGGCGGCUUCGGCUGUCACUUAUGGAUGGACCCGCGUCGCAGUAGCUAGUUGGUGAGGUAACGGCUCACCAAGGCAACGAUGCGUAGCCGACCUGAGACGGUGAUCGGCCACACUGGGACUGAGACACGGCCCAGACUCCUACGGGAGGCAGCAGUAGGGAAUCUUCCGCAAUGGACGAAAGUCUGACGGAGCAACGCCGCGUGAGUGAUGAAGGCUUUCGGGUCGUAAAACUCUGUUGUUAGGGAAGAACAAGUGCUAGUUGAAUAAGCUGGCACCUUGACGGUACCUAACCAGAAAGCCACGGCUAACUACGUGCCAGCAGCCGCUGUAA
rnacentral:rRNA from 1 species